AAAAUAAUAUAUCAUUGACAUAAUACAUAAACCGUUUACACAUACGAAAUAUUGUUCGCAAAACAAUUCCAAGUUUGUUAUGUUAUAAAUACAGACUAUGAAAACCGAAAUCUAUUAUUAUGAAGUUGUAUUCUGGAUGGUGAGAAUAUUGAUAAUGUAGAUAGGUGCUCAUUACUCCACUGCCUACCAGCUAUCUGUAUUUAAUGUAUAAUGUUCUAAACGAAUGUUAGCCGCUAGGUACGGGUACCUAAUACCUACCUUAAUAUGAAACAAUUUA